ACCCCCAGAUGAUGCACCUCCUGGACUUAUCCUGCCCGGCUCUGCGUCUCUGGCCAGUGGGUCCGGUGUCACGUGCAUCUCGAGCGCCCGGGUGCCAGGCGUCGUGCUGGGCGCUAGCAGCCUGGGCACGGUCUUUCGACUCCGGCAGGAAAGGGAGACAUUAAACGAUGAGAUGAAUCAUAGCCUUGGCUUUGCCUGGUGUCCAGAAGGAAGAAAUUACCGAAGAUCUCAACAUUGCAGUUUUCAUGGAGUGAUCGUCACAAUUGGAAGGAACCUCGGAGAUCUCCUGGCUCCAGCUCUCUGUUUCUAGGGGCCACCCACAGGUGUCCGAGAGUGGCUCGAGUGACUGUCAGUGCUGAUGAUACAACGCCGCGUGCAAGCCGAGUCUUUGUGGCAAUGACCCAUCCUCGAGGGACAGAGGAAAGAUAAGCAGGAGCAAAUCAAGGAGGUGUCCAGCAACAACUCAGACGUCCUAUCGCUCAGACGACUGAGGCUGUAGAGAGCAGGAUGGGAACACUGAGGAAGGAGUCCCUGAUAAACCAGUGCAGUAAUUGGAAGUGUUUCUGAGGGUGGGAAGGAGGACUCGGGAGGCCUGGGGGGUGAGAUAAGGCAAGCCAUCAACAUGUCAAGGUAAUUUGCUAGCAGUUCUGACUUUGGGUCGAGGUGUAUAAACCUGCCGGCCGUGAUGUAUGAAGCCUGCUAACCCGAGGAAGCCGGGCCACAGAAGGACCAUUGCAAAGUGGAGGCUGCUUGGGACUGACAAGAGGGACCCCCACCCGUUCCUGUCAGUGUGACAUCUGUGCUGAUGAAGGCAGACCCUCAUGACCAAGUGGGUCGACAGCCCGCGGGUGGGCAUGGCCUCCAUCGAGGACAGCAUAGCGUUUCCCAGCUCUCCUUAAUCCUGCAAGUGGUCCUUAAGGACUGAUGUUCUCAAAAGCUGCAAAAUGGGUUGAAAUGCUUUUGGGAAACUUCAUCCGUACUGGCCAAAGGGAGGCUAAGUACCUCUCUGAACCCACACCGACUUUGCAUACCCCUCACUGUCUCCCUGAGCCCGCCCAGACUACGUACCCCUCCUCACUUUGUUACUCUACAACCUGACGCCAUCUGCUUCCCGCCGUCCUAAGCUCACACCUACAGCACACACCCCUCGACAUCUCGAUGAUUCCAUGUCCGCUGUGUGCUGAGCUCAGCCGAGAUCUCUAACCCAGCUCACUGACUUCAUAGCGAUUGUGGAUUGCUACGAAAGCACUAGGUUUUUCUCCCCUCAAUAUCUAUUUUUCCAUUCUGCCUCGAAGUAAACCCUGGCUCAUCUCCCAGCCUCCUUGCCCUUACAUUUGGUCACAAGCCAAGUCUGGCCAAUGGUAUUUAAACCAAAGUCAGGGGCGCCUGGGUGGCUCAGUCAGUUGAGCAUCUGCCUUCAGCUCAGGUGAUGAUUCCAGGGUCCUGGGAUCGA